UUGCGCGGGACUUGAUCUCAGUUCUUUGAAGUAAAUUACAUUCAAUCGCUAUAAAAAUUGUAUUAUUUCAACGUUUAUUACUAAAAAUUGUGUUAUUUAACCGUGUAGUAACAGUUUUAUUAUUGAAAAACUGAGUAAAUCUCUUUCCGUGUGCAGAACUUAACAAGUGUUCCCAAUUCGUAAGAAUAACUUCCUCUUUACGAAAUAUUUAUUUCCAAUAAUCAAUCUUAAAAAAUUGUUUUACUUUUUCCUAAACUAAAACAUGUGAAUAUUUACAAAAAUUGAGUGCAAAUAUUUUACUACUUUAGUUUCUAACCUAGUUUUGACCAUGACCUUGAACAAUCGCCAUUGCGAUUUUGGAAACAAAAAUCGUUAAGUAAAUUUUAGUAAUUGUUUUCAUCAGUGUAAGCCAUUUUUAGAUUAGUGAACGGGAUUUUUAGAAAGAAAAUUAAAAUUUGUGUAAUUCGCCAAACUUUGUUUGUGUUCGGUUUAUUAUUCGUUAAAAAAAAAGUGUGUUAAAUUUUGAAAAAUUAAUAUUUACAUCAGUGCUGAAAGUAAUUGUGAUAAAAAAAAAAAAGUGGGUGUUGUGUAUGUGAUUUUAAUUUGACACAAGGAUUAGGCGUUAUGAAGCAGCUCUAGGGGGAGAUCUUGCACAGUCGAACAGAGUUAAUUGUGAUCGCAAAAAAAGUAUUGCUGAGAGUAGCUGCAAGCUGCAACGUGGGAAACCGAGUACCAGGCCUGAUGGACAAUUAAAACUGCAAAAAUUGGUAUGUAAUCUAUGAUAUUAGUUUACAAUUUUGUGGUAUUUUUUAAUGAAAAAUUAAUUCUUU